AGCGUGGCAGUGGUUCCCUGAAAAUAUUAGCAUCAUAAUAAUUCACAGGCAGGAGAUAUGGAAAUUAAUUUUUUUUUUUUUUCAUUUUGCAGCAUGCAGCAGAAUUCCACUAAGUCAUCCAGUGACAUGUGACAAAUAAAGACAGGACAGUCUGAAGUGGAAUGAGAAUCUACAGACACACAAAUCUCUGACUAACGUUUGAUCAGAGCCUCCUGCUUCCGCUGCAACUCCUGCUGCUCUAACAGCACUCCUCCUGUUUCCUCUCCUCUGCUACCUCAGACAAAGGGCCUGGAGGAAAACGUUCUCAGCUGUCUCCUGUUGAGCAGCAGCUGAGCAGCAAGACUGACAGAAACACACAAGUGACCAAUGAAGAAGUUCUGCAGGAGGGAGGACUGACCAAUGAGAGAGCCCGUCUGAUUGUAGGUGAUUUACGUUCCUGACAUUUUUAACCAAAUUACCCAGCA